GAUGAACGCUGGCGGCGUGCCUAAUACAUGCAAGUCGAGCGAACAGAUGAGGAGCUUGCUCCUCUGACGUUAGCGGCGGACGUGUGAGUAACACGUGGAUAACCUACCUAUAAGACUGGGAUAACUUCGGGAAACCGGAGCUAAUACCGGAUAAUAUAUUGAACCGCAUGGUUCAAUAGUGAAAGACGGUUUUGCUGUCACUUAUAGAUGGAUCCGCGCCGCAUUAGCUAGUUGGUAAGGUAACGGCUUACCAAGGCAACGAUGCGUAGCCGACCUGAGAGGGUGAUCGGCCACACUGGAACUGAGACACGGUCCAGACUCCUACGGGAGGCAGCAGUAGGGAAUCUUACGCAAUGGGCGAAAGCCUGACGGAGCAACGCCGCGUGAGUGAUGAAGGUCUUCGGAUCGUAAAACUCUGUUAUUAGGGAAGAACAAAUGUGUAAGUAACUAUGCACGUCUUGACGGUACCUAAUCAGAAAGCCACGGCUAACUACGUG
rnacentral:rRNA from 1 species